GACGAACGCUGGCGGCGUGCUUAACACAUGCAAGUCGAACGGAAAGGCCCUGCUUUUGUGGGGUGCUCGAGUGGCGAACGGGUGAGUAACACGUGAGUAACCUGCCCUUGACUUUGGGAUAACUUCAGGAAACUGGGGCUAAUACCGGAUAGGAGCUCCUGCUGCAUGGUGGGGGUUGGAAAGUUUCGGCGGUUGGGGAUGGACUCGCGGCUUAUCAGCUUGUUGGUGGGGUAGUGGCUUACCAAGGCUUGGACGGGUAGCCGGCCUGAGAGGGUGACCGGCCACAUUGGGACUGAGAUACGGCCCAGACUCCUACGGGAGGCAUCAGUGGGGAAUAUUGCACAAUGGGCGGAAGCCUGAUGCAGCAACGCCGCGUGCGGGAUGACGGCCUUCGGGUUGUAAACCGCUUUCGCCUGUGACGAAGCGUGAGUGACGGUAAUGGGUAAAGAAGCACCGGCUAACUACGUG
rnacentral:rRNA from 1 species